GAUGAAGAACGUAGCGAAACGCGAUAGUUAAUGUGAAUUGCAGAAUUCAGUGAAUCAUCGAAUCUUUGAACGCACAUUGCGCCCCCUGGUAUUCCGGGGGGCAUGCCUGUCCGAGCGUCAUUACAACCCUCAAGCUCAGCUUGGUGUUGGGCCCCGCCGCCCCGGCGGGCCCUAAAGUCAGUGGCGGUGCCGUCCGGCUCCGAGCGUAGUAAUUCUUCUCGCUCUGGAGGUCCGGUCGUGUGCUCGCCAGCAACCCCCAAUUUUUUUCAGGUUGACCUCGGAUCAGGUAGGGAUACCCGCUGAACUUAAGCAUAUCAAUAAGCGGAGGA
rnacentral:misc_RNA from 1 species